rnacentral:rRNA from 1 species
GAAGCUGGAAUCGCUAGUAAUCGCGGAUCAGAAUGCCGCGGUGAAUACGUUCCCGGGUCUUGUACACACCGCCCGUCACACCAUGGGAGUCGGAAAUGCCCGAAGUCAGUGACCUAACCGAAAGGAAGGAGCUGCCGAAGGUGGAGCCGGUAACUGGGGUGAAGUCGUAACAAGGUAAC